GUGAAUCAUCGAAUCUUUGAACGCAAAUUGCACUCUCUGGGAUUACGGUGAGUAUGCCUGUGUGAGGGUAAGUUUAAAUAAAAAUCGGUGUGGUUGCUGCCUUUCGUGGUGACGUACCGGAGUUGGGUCGUCUUGCCUUCGGUUAAGUGACCUAAAAUUUUGCAUGAUUUUUUCGAACGGAUUUAAAUGACUUUACGUACGUUGGCGAUGUCGAAUACUAGUUGUAGUCGUCCUCAUGAUU
rnacentral:misc_RNA from 1 species